GACGUGGCUCAGUUUGGUAGAGCGCUGCGUUCGGGACGCAGAGGCCGCAGGUUCAAAUCCUGUCGUC
rnacentral:tRNA from 3 species